GUGUUCAUUCUAGCAGCACAUGUACUAAAACUGGAAUGAUACAGAGAUUAGCAUGAGCGAGACCCGUGAGCAAGGAUGACAUGCAAAUUUGUGAGACGUUCCAUAUUUUU